rnacentral:rRNA from 1 species
GACGAACGCUGGCGGCGUGCUUAACACAUGCAAGUCGAGCGGUAAGGCUCCUUCGGGAGUACACGAGCGGCGAACGGGUGAGUAACACGUGAGCAAUCUGCCCAUCACAUCGGGAUAACUUCGGGAAACCGAAGCUAAUACCGAAUACAACCACUUCAGGCAUCUGACGGUGGUGGAAAGUUCCGGCGGUGAUGGAUGAGCUCGCGGCCUAUCAGCUUGUUGGUGGGGUAAUGGCCCACCAAGGCUUCGACGGGUAGCCGGCCUGAGAGGGUGACCGGCCACACUGGGACUGAGACACGGCCCAGACUCCUACGGGAGGCAGCAGUGGGGAAUAUUGGACAAUGGGCGAAAGCCUGAUCCAGCAACGCCGCGUGAGGGAUGACGGCCUUCGGGUUGUAAACCUCUUUCAGCGCCGACGAAGCGAAAGUGACGGUAGGCGCAGAGGAAGCACCGGCCAACUACGUGCCAGCAGCCGCAGUAA